rnacentral:rRNA from 1 species
CGAACGGGUGAGUAACGCGUGAGGAACCUGCCUCAAAGAGGGGGACAACAGUUGGAAACGACUGCUAAUACCGCAUAAGCCCACAGGUCGGCAUCGACCAGAGGGAAAAGGAGCAAUCCGCUUUGAGAUGGCCUCGCGUCCGAUUAGCUAGUUGGUGAGGUAAUAGCCCACCAAGGCGACGAUCGGUAGCCGGACUGAGAGGUUGAACGGCCACAUUGGGACUGAGACACGGUCCAA